rnacentral:rRNA from 1 species
UGGGGAAUAUUGCACAAUGGGCGCAAGCCUGAUGCAGCCAUGCCGCGUGUAUGAAGAAGGCCUUCGGGUUGUAAAGUACUUUCAGCGGGGAGGAAGGGAGUAAAGUUAAUACCUUUGCUCAUUGACGUUACCCGCAGAAGAAGCACCGGCUAACUCCGUGCCAGCAGCCGCGGUAAUACGGAGGGUGCAAGCGGUAAUCGGAAUUACUGGGCGUAAAGCGCACGCAGGCGGUUUGUUAAGUCAGAUGUGAAAUCCCCGGGCUCAACCUGGGAACUGCAUCUGAUACUGGGAAGCUUGAGUCUCGUAGAGGGGGGUAGAAUUCCAGGUGUAGCGGUGAAAUGCGUAGAGAUCUGGAGGAAUACCGGUGGCGAAGGCGGCCCCCUGGACGAAGACUGACGCUCAGGUGCGAAAGCGUGGGGAGCAAACA